AUGAACGUGGAUGGAGCAGUAAUCAGAGGCAGAAGAGGGGGAGCGGUUGCAGCAAUUUGUCAUAAUAGCGAAGGCACCUAUGUAGGAUCGUCGACAGUUGUUUAUCGGGGCAUCACGGACCCGUUAAUUCUUGAAACGUAUGCCUGCAUAGAAUCGAUAUCUUUAGCGGAGGACUUGGCCAUUCAAAGUUUCACGGUGGCCUCAGAUUGCCAGGGAGCCAUUACUGACAUCAACAUGGGGACGAGGGGGCCUCAUGCAGCUAUAGUACAUGAAAUAAUGGCGCGGAGAUCCAGUUUUACCUUAUGUAAUUUUGUGUUUGAGCGUAGAAAUCACAAUUUCGAAGCUCAUAAUCUUGCCAAAUUUGCUUGUAAUUUAGAUAUAGGUAGACAUAUUUGGUUGGGUUCGCCUCAUGACCCAACUCGUGUACCUAUGAACAUCAUUAUCAAUCAAUAA
rnacentral:rRNA from 1 species